rnacentral:misc_RNA from 1 species
UUUUAUCUCAGCAAUGUGUUAAUUAAAUUGGUGCUACGAAGCCUAAAUAGGUACUGAAUAAAUUAAUUAAAAUUUAAUACUCUGAAUAUUUGAGGAGUGUAAAGUAAUAUAAAUAUUAUAGUAUAAGUAAUAGUAUAUUUUACCUACUGAGAAUAUUUUAUCAGUGUAUCAAAAAUUUUAGUUUUCCUGGUUAUAAAGUAAAAGGAAAACUAUUAUAGAAAAUGUUUCAAAAGGUGUUUGUACUGGCAAGUCUGAACUGGAUCGCGUUCUCUACUGGCAUAGUGUAUGGCCAACUGGGCGGGUUGAUCACAUCACUACAGAAGAAGGAAGAAGGGAUCGACUUUAGUGAUGCCCAAAUAUCAUUGAUAGCUUUCACAUUGCCGUUCGUUUGCUUUUUUGGAUUUGUAUCGCUAUCGAUAACUACGGAGAAGAUUGGACAAAGAUGGCUGUACAUCCUCUUUUGUUUGCUUAUGACCGGAAACUGGCUUAUUCUGUACAACGCAAACGAAUUGUAUCAGUUCAUGAUAUCGAGAAUAAUUGGAGGUGUUUCCGUGGGGGCUUUAUUUGCAUUGAACCUUUUCGUUACAUCAGAAUACACUUGCCCAAAUACUAGAGCCCUAUUUAUUAAUAUCAUAGUUGUUAUAGCACCAGCUAUAGGUACAGCCGUCGGACAUGCUAUGGGAAUAUUACUGCAUUGGAGAUGUGCAGCAUUAUUUGGAUUAGCAACUGCAUUUUUAUCUGCAGUACUACCUUAUUUCUGGAUCGACAGUCCUCACUGGUUAGCCAGUAGAGGCAGGUUUGAGGAAUGUGAAAAAGCUUUUCGGAUAUUACACGGUACAACGGAAUGCUCUGAAAGACAAUUGCAAUUACUAAUAAAAUUGGAGAGAAGCAAACUAGAAGCAAUACAAGAGACUAAAUGUGAACCAUUGAAAAGAAUAGUCGCUGUUUUAAAGAAGAAAUACUUUUGGGAUAUCUUUAUUUUAAGUUUGUUUGUAGAUCUUUAUUUAGUGGCAUCUGAAAAGAUAGCUUUUAGUUUAUUAGCUUCUGUUAUAAUAGCAGAUAUAACUGGUUCAUCAAACGUUUUGUUAUUCACAUUCAUUGUGGACGGGUUUUUAAUUUUAGGACCAUGUCUAUCAUGUUUCUUUAUAAGGAAAUGUUCUAUGCGUACUUUACUAUUUACAUCGGGGCUAGCAGCUAACUUUGUAUUGUUAAUAUUUAGUUUGUGUUACUAUUUCCGUAAUGGGGAUGGAUUAUUCAAUUGGAUCAACAUUGGUUUGCUUGCCUUGUAUUUUAUUAUAAUCAACACUGGUCCAUAUCCUGUGUUAGAGACUAUAUACAGUGAAAUGUUUCCUUUAGAAAUUAAAAUGUAUAUGUUCACUGUAUCUGGCAGCAUUCUGAUGUUUGUGACGAGUUUCUCAGUAUUUAUAUUGCCGUUUAUAGUGAAAACUGUAGGUUAUCACGGACUGUUUGUAAUGAACUCUUUGCUGAUGAGUGUGAGCCUUGUCUAUAUAUGGUGGAAGCUGCCAGAGACGAAAGGAAAGACACUGCAAGAGAUAGAAGUGUAUUUUAAGACGAAGAAUUUUCAUGUUGACGACCUUAGUGCUGAGCAAUUAAAAUCGUUAAUAGUAAUGUAGUAGUAUCAUGAAAUAGAAAGAAGUGUAAUUGGAGUCGAGAGAAAUUGUAGAAUACCUAAGGUUUUGAAAAAUCAAAAAGGCUAUUAAACUUAAGGACGUGGAAAAAGUAUACAAAACACCAAAAUGGCAAUAGACACAAAAGAUACGUGAAAAGGAUGAGAAAUUGACAAAAAGGAAGAAGGCAAGAGGAAUAAAGGAAGGCAGGUGAAACGUUGCGAGGAUGAUUUUAAGAAGGUCGCUCGCCAUUCUCAGCCAUUCGGGACCGAAUGGCUGAGAAUGGCGAGGGACAGAGACUAUCCUAAGAAUGGCAAGAGGAAUAAAGGAAGGUAGAAGAAACGUUAAGAAGUGAUGGCAAGAGGAAUAAAGGAAGGCAGGUGAAACGUUAGGAGGUUGAUUUGAAGAAGGUCGCUGGUCUCGAAUGGAUGAGAAUGACGAGGGACAGAGUUUAUCCUAAGGAUGGCAAGAGGAAUAAAGGAUGGUAGAAGAAACGUUAAGAAGUGAUGGCAAGAGGAAUAAAGGAAGGCAGGUGAAACCUUGCGAGGAUGAUUUUAAGAACGUUGCUGGUCCCGAAUGGCUGAGAAUGGCGAGGGACAGAGAUUAUCCUAAGGAUGGCAAGAGGAAUAAAGGAAAGUAGAAGAAACGUUGGGAAUUGAUGGCAAGAGGAAUAAAGGAAGGCAGGUGAAACGUUGGCAGGUUGAUUUUAAGAAGGACGCUGGUCCCGAAUGGCUGAGAAUGGCGAGGGACAGAGACUAUCCUAAGAAUGGCAAGAGGAAUAAAGGAAAGUAGAAGAAACGUUAGGAAGGGAUGGCAAGGGGAAUAAAGGAAGGCAGGUGAAACGUUGGGAGGUUGAUUUGAAGAAGGUCGCUGGUCCCGUCCCGAAUGGCUGAGAAUGGCGAGGGACAGAGACUAUCCUAAGAAUGGCAAGAGGAAUAAAGGAAGGCAGGUGAAACGUUGGGAGGUUGAUUUGAAGAAGGUCGCUGGUUCCGAAUGGAUGAGAAUGGCGAGGGACAGAGAUUAUCCUAAGGAUGGCAAGAGGAAUAGAGGAUGGUAGAAGAAACGUUGGGAAGUGAUGGCAAGAGGAAUAAAGGAAGGCAGGUGAAACGUUGGGAGGUUGAUUUGAAGAAGGUCGCUGGUCCCGAAUGGAUGAGAAUGGCGAGGGACAGAGACUAUCCUAAGAAUGGCAAGAGAAAUAAAGGAAGGUAGAAGAAACGUUUUGCAGUGAUGGCAAGAGGAAUAAAGGAAGGCAGGUGAAACGUUGGGAGGAUGAUUUUAAGAAUGUCGCUGGUCCCGAAUGGAUGAGAAUGGCGAGGGACAGAGAUUAUCCUAAGGAUGGCAAGAGGAAUAAAGGAAGGUAGAAGAAACGUUAGGAAGUGAUGGCAAGAGGAAUAAAGGAAGGCAGGUGAAACGUUGGGAGGAUGAUUUUAAGAAUGUCGCUGGUCCCGAAUGGAUGAGAAUGGCGAGGAACAGAGCCCGAAAAUGAUUGCUAAUGAUGAUGAUGAUGAUGAUGAU